UAGUAUGUUCUUUCAAUAUUGAUUGUUAAACACCAAAAAUUCUCCAGAUGUUUUAUUAGCAACCUUAGUUACAAUCGGGUCAAAGUUGAUGGAAAAUUUCUUUAAAAAAAAAAAGUACCCGUCACGCAGACCGAAAAGACAAAAUAAUGAUGCAGUGCUUGCAAUGUAAUGUUUUCAAACAAGUAAAGAAAAAUCCAAGUUCCUCAUUUUGUCUCCCCGACUGGAAAUAGGAAAUCAUUGUAAAAAUUUGUUUUUAACAAAAAUAAAAUUGAACGAAACUGCAAAAAAGUGUCCGAAACCGCCCUGGCACCACUUGCUUAGUUUUCACUUUAUAUAUGUAAUGUUGAGAACAAAUUAGAUUAUUUCUAUUUUGAUUAAGUUUUAGCAGCAAAACAAACGUUGCUAAUG